CCUACGGGGGGCAGCAGUGGGGAAUAUUGGACAAUGGGCGAAAGCCUGAUCCAGCCAUGCCGCGUGUGUGAAGAAGGCCUUCGGGUUGUAAAGCACUUUCAGUGGGGAAGAAAGCCUUGGGGCUAAUACCCUCGAGGAAGGACAUCACCCACAGAAGAAGCACCGGCUAACUCCGUGCCAGCAGCCGCGGUAAUACGGAGGGUGCGAGCGUUAAUCGGAAUUACUGGGCGUAAAGCGCGCGUAGGCGGUCUGAUAAGCCGGUUGUGAAAGCCCCGGGCUCAACCUGGGAACGGCAUCCGGAACUGUCAGGCUAGAGUGCAGGAGAGGAAGGUAGAAUUCCCGGUGUAGCGGUGAAAUGCGUAGAGAUCGGGAGGAAUACCAGUGGCGAAGGCGGCCUUCUGGACUGGCACUGACGCUGAGGUGCGAAAGCGUGGGUAGCAAACAGGAUUAGAUACCCUGGUAGUC
rnacentral:rRNA from 1 species